rnacentral:lncRNA from 1 species
CCUGUAUUUGAAGCAGACGAAGAUGAUGUUGAAGGGAUUCCUGACGAGAUUUCCCGACUUCUUGAGCAAGAAAAGAAGAUCACUCGGCUGCAUCUCGAGAAUCAGCAGAACAGCCAACUGGGGCAUUAUCAAAAAGAAGAAAAAAAAAAAGAGAAGAAAAAGAGGGUGCAAAAUCAAAAAAAAUAUAUAAUCAAAAGAAAUAAAAAAA